GGGUUGUGAGGUUAAGCGACUAAGCGUACACGGUGGAUGCCCUGGCAGUCAGAGGCGAUGAAGGGCGUGCUAAUCUGCGAUAA
rnacentral:rRNA from 1 species